rfam:Stenotrophomonas chelatiphaga strain DSM 21508 contig_14, whole genome shotgun sequence.
AUUCGACCUGCGCUUUGUUUCAAUUGCCCUGCGCCGCCGAUACGGGGCGCGCCCGGAUCCAGUCGUUGGCAACGGGUUAUGGCUGUACGAAGCAAGGAGGAGGCGUUGCGGACGCGGGUUCGAGUCCCGCCAGCUCCACCACCUGGGUAUUGGGGGGCCAAUGGCCAGGUGAAGGGGCUGUACUGGUUUCGACGUGGCGAGCAAUCGGCGUGGACAGCCCGGGAGGCGACCGACGUUAUCGGCGCAAAAACCAUAAUCGCCAAUCAAGUCGAUUAUCAUCAGGCCCGCAUCGCGGCCUGAUCC